AACGAACGCUGGCGGCAGGCUUAACGCAUGCAAGUCGAGCGCCCAGACCGGGGUGCGGCAGACGGGUGAGUAACGCGUGGGAAGGUACCUUUUGGUGUGGAACACCUUCGGGUAACUGGAGAUAACACCGGAUAAGCCCUAACGGGGAAAGAUUUAUCGCCGAACGAUCGGCCGGUGUCUGAUUAGCUAGUUGGUGAGGUGUCGGCACGCCAAUGCGACGUUCUGUAGCUGGUCUGGGAGCAUGACCAGUCAGACUGGGACUGAGACACGGCCCAGACCCCGACGCAAGGGAGCAGUAGGGAAUAUAGUACAAUGGGGGCAAGCCUGAUCCAGCCAUGCCGCGUAAGUGAGGAAGGCCGUAGGGUUGUAAAGCUCUUUGGUCCGAGAAGUUAAUGACUGUACCGGAAGAAUAAGCCCCGGCUAACUUCGUG
rnacentral:rRNA from 1 species